GCGUCGGUGGUUCAGUGGUAGAAUACUCGCCUGCCACGCGGGUGGCCCGGGUUCCAUUCCCGGCCGACGCA
rnacentral:tRNA from 1 species